rnacentral:lncRNA from 1 species
GACAGGUCUUGGAUAAAUCGUCAAAUCUCAAUAUCGAUCAUAUGAUAGAUUCAAUUAGUUUGAGUCCAUAUAUGAUUUUCAUAAAAAAAAUUUUUCAUUAAUCACACUACUAUGGCCACAGACUUAAGGACUCAGUUUCUUAAAUCUCACAAAACUAUUCUCCUCUGUUAAGGUCGAUAGAUUGUAUUCAGGUAUGUACCU